ensembl:lncRNA
CGUCACAGCACGGUCGCGGCGCGGUCCCCGCAUCGGGACGCCGAGACGAUCCCGCAACAAGGCGAGGAGGAGAAGCGCACAGCGAGUGCUUAAAGUGUCAUUUAAGUGCCGGGCACAGCUGCGCCUCGUCCGGAGCCGAGCGCAACGCUCGCCCCAAAGCCUCUUAAGCUCCUCCGGGGGCUACCGGGAGCCACGAGGGCGCUCUGCGCAGUCCCUCGCCGGGAGGCGAUGGAGGAGGUUGUGGGGUGCUGUUCCUCUGCCCGAGGCGCUGCUGGGGCUGCGAGGGGCUGCUUGGAAGCCGAAACCUCGGGGUUCUGUUUAACGUUGUCUGUUGCGUUUGGUUCUUUUAUUCAGGCUGCAGGAGGGCGUCGGGAUCCGCCCCGGCCGGUGAGCCGUACCGAUAGCGAUGGAGGUGGUGAGCGCUCGGCGGUCCUUGGGGGGCUUUCCGCCUGGGGUGAGAGGCUGCCGGGCCCUCACCGUGCUCUUUUUGGGGCCGGCGUAGAGCUACCGCUGGGCUCCCUCGACUUUUCAGAGCCGGGAUUGCAGCGCUGCCUGCUUUCUGUUGUAUUUGGUUUGCUUUUUUCCCUCCACAACCCUCCUUUUUUUUUUUAUAGUGAGUGCUUCAGUUUGUUCUGCUCUCAUCAGCGGGAGUGAGCGAGACGGGGCUGUGCUUCUGCGGCCUCGGCACUGCUGGGAGAGAGGAGCAACACGAAGGGCUGCUAAAACCAGGUGUUCUCCUACUGCAGCUGCAGCAGAGCCUCUCUUCAUCCCAAACCAGCGAGGUUGUGGAAGUGUUGAGAGUUUAGGAGUCAGUAGGUGAGCUCUCUCCCCUUUGGACUUGGGUAGGGUUGCUGCUGAGCUAUCUCUGUUUCUUCGGGAUCAGCACGGUGCUGCUCUUGGAGGCCAAGUGAGGCCUCUGGGUGGCCUCAGCCCCCAAAAAGGGUUUGUAGGUGCUUCAGCUCCUGCCUCCAGCAGCGAGAGCGAGCAGCAGAAUGGGACUGGGUGUUUCCACCUUCCUUAUGUGCAUGACCUCAUUCCCAUUGUGGUGGGUGAACUUGUAUGCCUGGAAUGCUGUUUGUUACGGAUUGCAUGUUUUUUUCCAGAAGGACAAUCCAGCAGGGUGAUGGAGUUGCUUUUCAGGUGAGAGAGCUGGAAAGGAUUGAGCCCUGCCUAGGGAUGAAUGAACAACUAGAGGAGUGCUUGUGAGGUAGGUAAAGGUGAGUAACAUCCUUGGGGGUGUUGGUUACAGACCAGGAUGAGGAAGAGGAUAAGACCUUCUGCGCACAGCUGUGGGCAUUAGUUGUUCUCAGGGUAGGCUGAACCACCCUAUCAGCUGUUGGGGAAGCAAGGCUGCCAGGCUUGGUUAUUCCAGGAGGUUCUUGCAAUGUGUCAAAGGUAAAACUUAGGACACAAGAGACGGAGGAGCUUGCUCUCCCUACAGAGGGAGGCUCAGCUGGAGGUGGCCGCUCUGAGAUGGUGCAGUUCAGGAUCUGGUGUGGAAGAAGCAAAGCAGUAAGUAGGGUUGAGAUAUUGGAUUUUCAGGAAGCCUGGUUUGUCCUCUGAAAGGAUCUACUUGGAGGUAUCCGUGCAGUUGGAACGUCAGAAGAGGUCCUGUGGGCGGUUGUUGUUUCAAGCAAUUUAUUUGCGCUCAGGAGGGGCGCUCUUAGGAGAGUAAGAAAAGGAGCAGAAAUAGCGGGGGAGCUUCAUGGGAAAAUGGGGCUUGCAGAAGAACUUGAAAGCGAGAAGGAAGAGAUUAGGAUGAGGAAGGCUAAAGCCUACUUAGUUUCUUCUUUGGGGGGGGGGAAGAUCAAGGAUAACAGAAGUUAGCAAGUUUGUGAACAGCAAGGAGGAGAGUAGGGUGGGUCCUCUGCCUCAUCAGGCAGGGGCUGGAAUGCCUUCUUUGUUGCAGCUGAGGAUGCUCCUUGACGAUCCUGGAUCCCAGAGGAAAGCGUCUUUGAGGAAGGAUGCCUUCCUGAUUGCAGAGGAGGCGGCAAAGAUCACGUGGACAAAAUUGGUGCCCCCCAGGUCCUAGUGGGACGUGCCUGUGUGUGGCGAAGGAGCUGGCAGAAGUGAGCGCCAGCUGGCUCUGUGUCACACUCUUUAUGAUGUUUUCUAUAGGAAAGUUGUGUGAGGACGGGAGGAUAGCCAGCAUCACGGCAGCCUUCAAGAAGGGUAAGAAGGAGGGCCUGCAUAACCCUAGGCCAGUCCCUCUCCUCUUUCACCCUGGAGAGGUGGUGGAAUGACUUUGUUCUAGGUGUCAUUUCCAAGGAACUUGAAGAGUUUGCUAUGAAGCAGUCAAGGUGGCAUCACUGAGGGGAAAUUGUGCUGCUCCAACCUGGGAGCGUCUGCUCAGAGAAGAGCAGGGGAUGCUGCAAGCCUGACUUCAGUGUUUCUGUUGGUGUUUUUGUAAUGAAGCUUAACAAGUGUGAGAUGGGUGAGCGCACAGCAAGGCAGACUUAGAGUGGUAUAGUUGGAAGCUGUACUUAGGGGCGUUCCCUGCAUCAAUGGGUGUUUGUUUCUCAUUAGUGACCUGGAUGAAGGGAGAGUCUCUAAUGUCGGUGAGUGAGCGGAUGAUGCGAAGCUGGGAGGAGCAGUGACAUUCAGCGGGACCCCAUAAACUGUGGAGAGCAGGUAUGGGGUUGUGCAACUGGAGAGGAAUAACAGCAUGUACUGUUACAGGUUAGGAACUGGUCUGCUGGAAGGGUGACUGGAGGAGAAGGACUCUUUGGUCAGCUGUGAGCCAGUGGCCCCAGAAAGCCAAGGCUGUCCUGGGGUGUGAUGGAGUUCUGCCCUGGUGAGGCUGUGUGGAGUAUUUGACUCUGCAGGUCAAGCAGAGGGGAAAGCUGUACAUGGGGUCUAAUGGAGGGCAAUGAAGAUGAUGAGGGGCCUGGAGCAUCUCUCUGUGGAGGACUGGAUGAGGACCCUACAGCUGUUUGAUGAAGAGAAGGAUGGAGGCUGCAAAGGAGAUUUUUUUUUGGCAAGGAUCUGCCUGAACAUGAGUGGUGGAAUGGAGGAGGUAAGAGCCCUCAGCUGUGUUGUGUAGGUGUGGAGGCUCCUUUGUCAGAGGUUUGGUGCUGGAACAAGGAUUGCUGUGUGACUGCCUCUCCAGAGGGAGGUGAGUUUUGUUGUGAUCUGCAUGUGUAUGGAGUUAUGGCUGUAGCUGGUUUCUAGUGUGUGGGUUGUGUCUUGGGGUGAAGGUUGACUGUGUCUUCCUUUGUGCCCUGAAGGUGUUUUUCCAGUGGAGUGGAAUUGAUGGAGCAUUCAGAAGUGGUGCCUUUUGGUGGAGCUUCACUUGGGCUGUAGCAGAGGAAUUGGAGCUGACUUAACAGGUAGGCAGUGGGUGUUGUGUUCUUGGCUGAGGCAUACUGUCUGGUGUGUGGUUUUUGUUCCUUGGGUGCUGUUGGGGUCAGCUGUGUUUGGCUCUUUUUUUGUUGCCUUUGGUUGAAGUUGUGGCUUGGGCAUUGUGUGUUUUGAUUUAGUGGUGGUUUUCAGAGAAGCAUUGUUUUUUUGGUGGGUGGGAGACAAUUCCAGGGGGGAAAUCCCCCUGGUCUUGUUUUUUUUGUGGGAUUGCUGGCUGGGGUUUGCACUAUCUCUAAAGAGAUAUAUUUUUUUUUUUGGUGGGAGGGUGGGUGCUUGUCAGUAUUGGUUGCUUAUUCUUUGGGGGUGGCCCACCCUGGCUAGGGGGCUCCCCUUGGGGGGAGGUGGGUAGAGGAGCCCCCUUACACCAGGAGGGGCUCCCCUACCCACCCCCCCCACAAGGGGAGCCCCUCCUGCUAAGAGGGCUCCCCUUGUGUGGGGGGGGUGGGUAGGGGAGCCCCUCCUGGUGAAGGGGCCCCCACCUCACCUACCCCCCCCACAGAGGGAGCCCCUCCUGGUGAAGGGGCCCCCACCUCACCUACCCCCCCCACAGAGGGAGCCCCUCCUGGUGAAGGGGGCUCCCCUUUCUGAUGUGAUGGCUGCUUGGUGGCAGUGUUGCUGGUCCUGGGCUGGAAAGGAGGAGCUGAGUUCUAUGCUCUGCAGGAGGAGAAAGUUCAGUUUAUUACGAAGCUCAAGUAGAACUUUUUUUGCUAUGACUCUGUAUCUGUAGCUUAAGAGGGUGCUUGAUGUGUGUAGUGGUUUACUGUGCCUGAAGGUUACAGUAAAAAGGGUUUGGGUAAGUGGCUGGAGAUGAAAUGUGCCUGUGGAGUUGCAUAUAAGGCUGUGUUCCUAACUAACAACCUAAAUAGGAUGAGAUGGUUAAGAAGGAGGGAAGUUGCCUUUCUCUGACUUUCUUGCCUAUUCCUCUUAGGAGAAAAAAUGGUCUAAGAAAAUGGAAAUGCUUAUAAAACUUCUCUGGAGAGGUCUGUACAAGGCCAACUUGGUUUUCUGCAUCUAUAGUUUAAAAUGUUAUCUGGACAGAGACUUUUCCCUCAGUAUUUAACACUGCUUCUCACAAAGUGAGCUCAAUCAAAUUGGACAGACAACUUAACUUAGAAGUUUCUAAAUUCAAACAACGAACAACUAGGUCUCCCUUGCAAGAUAGGCUUCUUUCACUUUUGCCUCCUUGCAGGAUCAAAACUGCAGAGGAGAACUUCUAGGUGUAACUCUGCUCUUGUUUCAGUGUGUGCCCCAGAAAUACUGGGAAUGAAGUUUGCUUCCAUAGUGUGAGAAGCAGGUGAGUAGAUGUCAGUUUUAGAGAAGAAUUACCCGCUUGCAGCAGUUUCUUUUGAAAAGAUUUUCUACUGCAAGUAGAGAUGCUCUGUGUUACCUCUGGAAAUAGGAUGCCUAAGUAUCUGCACUAAAAUAAUGGCUGGACUGAGCUAGCUCAAGUUUUCCUGGUGUAGUGGAUACCUGGCAGUCUCCAACUUGAAACAAAAAGCAAAGAAUCUUGCUUACCUCAGGGAAGAAAUGUAGCGCCUACCAGUUAUUUCUGUGCUUGGGACUUCUUCCCUUGCUGCUGAACUGACUUUUAUCUUGGGAGAAGAAAGUGGAGGACGAGGACCGCUUCUGCAGUUGGCCAUUUAGCACUGCAAGUUCUGUAAGGAAAAAAGUGAGACUUAAGUUAAUAAUGAAUAUCUUCACAGGUUGUCUUCUUCAGCACUAUGGUGUGUCAGACUUGCUUGACUCACCAAAUGAAACCAGUACUUUUCCAGUGUUUGCAUUGUUGCAGCGGAAUUCCUGGAGAGAAGCGUUGCUUGAGUUUGGAAGGGCUUCUCGAGUGUGAAGGUAGGAGUGCUGUCCUGAGAGCUGAGCGGUGUUGACUCUUGCAAAAAGAUGGUUUCCUUUUUUCAGAUAGGUAAGUCAAACCACUGUCAGCAAACCAAUGGAGAAACCAGAGACUAGUGCAUCUCUACAGUACCCUUUGGGUUAAGUUAGGGUAAGUUAGGUCCUCUGAACCUCUGUGCCACAGGGAGACUGAACUCUAACGUGAAUGGCAAGCAUCAUGUUUGGCAUUUUUCUUUUAAUUGGAAGAAAUGGAACUAACUUCAGAUUCUGCCUUUGCAUUAGAUGCUUGUAUAAAAACACUAUAUACUGUAUGCAAGACUUUGCAAUUAUUAAUUGGCUUCACUUGCAGUUCUGCUGCUGUUGCAGUGCAACACCUAGAUAAUUCAGGACAGAAAGUGGAGUUAAUUUACUUACCUGUGACACUGAAGUCAAGUCAUCAGCAAAGCAGAGUUUCCAGGAGUUAUUAGGUUAUUUUACUCAUUAGUUCAAGCAGGUAACUGCAGGUGAUUAAGCUCUUGCUUCUUGUAAUAAACAAAACACAUGUAAGCUUCUCCUUAUGUACAAACUCAAAAAAAUGCCUGCUUCUUGUUUAUAGAAUCAGAAAGCAGCCUGGGUUGGAAGGAACCUGUGUCUCUAAGCUCUGCACUGCUCUGCCUCAACUUCAGUUGCAUCUCUGAGUCUCACAAAGCCUGGGGAUGACCAGUGUCAAUGACAGUUUGCAUUCUGGUUCUACUCAAUUUUCACAUUUUCAGAUUCAAAGUAACAAUUUCUACACUAGGAGGAACUUAGCUGUAACACCUGGGCACAAAUUACACCUUUGGAGACAAACUUCAAGAUUUGCAAACUUCAAGAUUUGUUUCCUGUAGGUACAGGCCUGAAUCAAACACCCCUUCUGUGUCACGUUGCAUCCUGUUUCCCAAGGUUUCCAGCUUCUUUCUCCAACUGUUGCAAAGAUGGCACUGUUGUUUUUUCCUGCGUAGCCUGAAGUCCCCAGUGGCUACAGUCCACUUCUCUCCACCGCUGACGUUUAAGGUGCUGACAGCCCCCAAGCGCCCGAGGGAUCCUGCUGUCUUCGGCAAGGUCUCAUUUCAUUUAAUUUCAUAUUUAAAGCUUCCGUGACCUUUUUGAACAUGUAAAUGAUAAAAAUACUUUCACACACGGAUGUAUCGAGCGCCACGUCCACCUAGGCUUGUUAAUAAACCUCGUUGCUCUGUUUCUGCUGGCCCGUGGCUAUAUUAGCUGUCUGCUCGCCUUAUUUGUGAGAUAUAAAUAGCCAGGGACUGCACACUCGCUGUCUAGUUACAUCGAGAUAACAGUGAUUUUAAUACUCUUAAACAAGCCUGUCUCCUGACGUGGGUCUGUCCAGAACGCUCACUCUUACCUAUCUUCCUUCUUCGUGUUUGAGUGGGAGAUUCGUAAGCAAAAUCUCUCAGCCACCAAACAUGCCAAUAGAAAACAAAAGGGCCACUGAAGGGCGUUUUUGCACUGUUCACACGCUGCUGUUGGAAAGUAAUUCUCCAUACCAUUUCUUAUGUUUGGGCUCAAUAACAUUUCAUACCCGUACCGCACAGUGGUUCUGACCCAGUCACGCUGCAUUGGCCUGAAUCAGAAAGUCCCAGACUCAUCUCAGGGCUAUGCUGUAUCAUUCUUACUGCAAAUUGAAGAUAGCUGGUACUCCCUUCCCAAAAGGCCUCGAGCCUCAGCACAGUAAUGCCUUACAGUGAAAGUAAAGCAGAGAGAGGCAGAGAACUACACUCAGUAAGGGAUUGAACUAACAACAGAAUUUAAACAGGAUUUAGGUGAGGAUUGGCAUCUAAAUACACAGUUGUGAGCUAAAGACCCUUGGCUCUCAGGGCACCUCCUUCUGUGACCGAAAAGGUCUCUAGGGCCGCUGUGAGGGUACAGAGGGAGAACUGCAUCCUGGCUUCCCAGCAUCUAUUUUUCUGCUGAACUAAGUGCACGUGCCCUGUAAGGCACGCCCAGAGCACGCUGGACACCCUGCCUUAGCCCCGGGUCGCGCCACUUGUUCGGGUAUCGUUUGGGUAACCGAUCUUUCAGUGCUAAAUGCCGACUACAGCAUCCUCAGAGAGAAGCUCUCUCUCUUGGAGAAGCUGAUAGCCCUAAGCACAGCAUUACAGAGCGCUGAGAGUCCCCCACAGGAACAUGCUGCCCCUGGAGGACGGCUAGUCUAGUCAGGACCUAAUGCAAACCAUGGGAGUACAGGUAUCUGUGGAAUAACAUACCAGUUUGACUGUGUAUAAAAUGAGAUACAAUGAGUAAGUUCAUCAAGGAAAUUAUAGCCUCUGGAGAAAUCCUUUACAAUAGCUGCGAUGAGUAACAUCUCACUCCAUGACUCUGUUGACUUCCAUCUUCCCCUAUAGUUACAUGGAUUACCCUGGAAGCAAUGCCUCCUCUUUAUUUCUGCAGAAACUACAGUGAAUAAAAAGAGCACAAGAACACUAUUUGAUAGUGUUUUGUGGCUGAGAACUUGCUCUGCUUUUCAACAUAGUCACCGCUGCUAGCUAUAGACUUUGUCGCAUGGCUAUAUCUAAGUAUGCACGCAUUAUUACGUACUUGUGAAAACUUUUCCACAUAGCUGUGCUGUAAUUUGCAUCCACAUCUUACACUUACAUCCGUAAGAGGACUUCUGCCGGGCACGGGUGAGCACCGUUGGACUAUACAAUGCUUGAUAGCUGGGGGCAACAGUGCAGUGGCUACAACAGAGAAGUGAGGUGCAGCAGCGGAUGCAGAAAAGAAAGAAACUCCUUACCUUUACAAGACCUGUAAAAUCCUCAAGGGGUGCAGAGAGCUCUAGAAGACAGUCUUUCUCCUCCCCCUGCUGGCCCUUAAAUGAGGUCUGGGAAGGGGUGGAUCCUGGCUCCACCCCUUCUAAUUGGCCGCAUUGCGUUCACCUGGGUUGGCCCUGGGUUGGCCCUGCCUUCCACCAGGUGCUCAAUCACUGCUUCGGACCAUGACUUGACGUCUCUUAUGCAGACAUCAAUAAAAUCUCUGACUUGAUUUUUGGCUGCGUAAGAAACUGUACGUCAGAGUCAUGGUUUUCUUCCAGUUCCUCUCUACUGAGUUCACUGCUUCUUCUUUACUUGUUAUUCAGUGCUUGCUGUCUUCCCAUCAGCAGCCGUCCACCUUCGAAGCGAUUGGUGUCAGAUGUCAUUUCUCAUGGCCGGUUUCCCUGGCUUUCACCAAUGCAAACUGCUGUACAACAUUUGCACUUUGGAGCGGUUCGAAGCAGUGAUUUCCAUUUUCAUACCCUCGUGCGCUUCGUUCAGUUAUUUCUUCUGCAGUACUUGUUGCCCUCCUUGCACUGAAAAAAAAAGUGAAGCAGAACUUCGAUUAGGUCUAUGCGAGUUAUCCUCCAGCCUGUAAAAUAGCCUUCCUGCACCAUAAUCCAUUUUCUUUGCUUCUGAUAGCUAUCUGUCUAAACAUGUCCUUGCUGUUUGUAUUAAAGUCCGUGCCCACGUGCCCAACGCUUUCUGAAAAGUGACUUCCGUUCUCAUUUUGUUUCCUUACGUAAUGGCGCCUACCAUCCAUUCCUCGAAAGCUAUGCUUUUUCUCCAUGCUACUUACUAACAUAAUCGUCCUUCCGGCCAGCUGAGGAACCUUCCCUGGCACUCUGUGGACGCACGGUUUGCCACUCAGGUUUUUCACAGGGUGCAUAAUCGUGGUGUAAUUCCUGUGUUUCGUGACUCACAGCACGCUCUAAACUGAAGUAACUCAGCAGGCUUCAAGAGAAGCACGGUUUUAUGGUCAGUCAGGUCCGACUAAACUGUUGCGUGCAUUUCAGAGCAUCCUACAGAAUAUUUGUAUUGUAUUCUAAAGAAUACAAGUAAUAUACCUAUUAGCCUGCCCAGAAACAUUCCUGGGGCAGCUGGGGAGAAAAACAGUGACGUGCCGUUUAGUGGCCUUGAAGCGGGAUGCGCGCAAAGGUCUCCUCUGGGGGGUAUCAAACGCAAGGAUAUAGUAUUGCAUUUAUUGUUCGGCUCAGAUCUCCAUUGGCCUGAGGUUCUUGACUCACGUAUGUUUGCACGAGCGGGUUUUUCACGAGCCUAUUCCUGCCUGCCCAGAUAUUUUUCCGUGGCACGUCAUAUUCUUUUGUUUUCCCCCGCUCAGAAGUGAAGUCUCUGUCAGCAGGGCUCUUCCUGUCUUUCUCGCCAGCUGCCUUCAAACAGAGAUUUUAACCGAUACUUCAGACGUUCAGGGUGGGUAUUCCCUUUCUCAUCCCUCUGGAAACUCGCCGAAGCCGCCGCUGUUUUAUUUGCCGAUACUGGAGGCCUAUUUUUAGAGCCAGAGCUCAAGGUGUGUCUAAACCAGGCCUUAAAUUUUUGGACCGAUCUUGACAGCUCGUUGUUAA